AGGUUACCCUGCUCCGGGGUCCCCAAACCUCGGGGUAAGGUCAGUUGAGGCUGAGGUGCGAGGAGAGGAAAAAAGAAGAUGGUGGGAGAGGAAGAGGAAGAGCACAGUCAGGGUCAGAAGAUGGGACCCUACGAAGAAAGCAUGUCCAAAUCUCCAGCCAAUCCCAGAGAUGCCCCGCCUGCUUAUAGGUACCCCCUUUCCUCACCUGACAGACCAACAUCACCCUAGGCUGUGCUCCUGGGGGGAGCUGGAAACCACAGUUUCUAAUUACUGUUAUCAUCACCAUGGUAGCUGUGGUGAUUAUGAUGGUACUUCUGUAUCCCACAGUGCUUAGCAGCAUUUAAUUAUUGUUAUUCCUAGAGAGAUCACUGCAGAGCUUCCCCCUUGCCAAGGCUGCCGUUGCUCUUGGGACCAGCUGAAUACAACGGGCACCCCACCCCAGCGCUGGUGAUCAGGUGUGUCCAAAGGGAACCAAGAUGCUUAGCAGAAGGGCAACCUCGAGAGAUGUUCCAGGGCCCUUAAUGGCUGGUGGAACUGAAGUCCAAGGGUUCUGUUACUUUUCUGUUGUUACUUUUGAGACAAGCUCAUCAACACUGGCCUCAAAUUUACUUUGUAGCCAAGUCUUACUUUAAGCUUCCUUCCUCCUGCCUCUACCGGACAAAUGCUGAGAUUAUAGGUGUGUGCCACCAUUCCUGGCCUCUUUGUUGCUGGGGAUUGAACCCAGGACUUCAUGCUUGCUAGGCAAGCUCUCUAACAACUGAGCUCCAUCCUGCCC
rnacentral:lncRNA from 1 species